UACGAAGGGGGCUAGCGUUGCUCGGAAUCACUGGGCGUAAAGGGUGCGUAGGCGGGUCUUUAAGUCAGGGGUGAAAUCCUGGAGCUCAACUCCAGAACUGCCUUUGGUACUGAAGAUCUUGAGUCCGGGAGAGGUGAGUGGAACUGCGAGUGUAGAGGUGAAAUUCGUAGAUAUUCGCAAGAACACCAGUGGCGAAGGCGGCUCACUGGCCCGGUACUGACGCUGAGGCACGAAAGCGUGGGGAGCAAACAGG
rnacentral:rRNA from 1 species